rfam:Triticum aestivum genome assembly, contig: Triticum_aestivum_CS42_TGACv1_scaffold_225027_3B
GACGUACUCCCUCCGUCCCAAAAUUCUUGUCUUAGAUUUGUCUAAAUACGGAUGUAUCAAGUCAUGUUUUAGUAUUAGAUACAUCCAUAUCUAAACUAAUCUAAGAUAAGAAUUUUGGGACGGAGGGAGUAUGUA